rnacentral:rRNA from 1 species
GACGAACGCUGGCGGCGUGUUUAACACAUGCAAGUCGAACGGAGAGUACCGAGUAGCAAUACGCGGUAUUCUUAGUGGCGGACGGGUGAGUAACGCGUGAGCAAUUUGCCUCAGGGUGGGGGAUAACAGCGGGAAACCGUUGCUAAUACCGCAUACGACGACGGCCGGGCAUCCGGCUGUGGUGAAAGGAGCAAUCCGCCCUUAGAUGAGCUCGCGUCCCAUUAGGUAGUUGGCGGGGUAACGGCCCACCAAGCCUGCGAUGGGUAGCCGGACUGAGAGGUUGGCCGGCCACACUGGAACUGAGACACGGUCCAGACUCCUACGGGAGGCAGCAGUGAAGAAUAUUGGGCAAUGGGGGAAACCCUGACCCAGCAACGCCGCGUGAGGGAAGAAGGUUCUCGGAUUGUAAACCUCUGUCCCAUGGGAAGAAAAAAAUGACGGUACCAUGGGAGGAAGCCCCGGCUAACUACGUGCCAGCCGCCGCGGUAA